CGAACGCUGGCGGCAGGCCUAAUACAUGCAAGUCGAACGGCUCUUCGGAGCAGUGGCGGACGGGUGAGUAACGCGUGGGAAUGUGCCCUUAGGUACGGAACAACACAGGGAAACUUGUGCUAAUACCGUAUGUGCCCUUCGGGGGAAAGAUUUAUCGCCUUUGGAGCAGCCCGCGUUGGAUUAGGUAGUUGGUGAGGUAAAGGCUCACCAAGCCGAGGAUCCAUAGCUGGUCUGAGAGGAUGACCAGCCACACUGGGACUGUGACACGGCCCAGAAUCCUACGGGAGGCAGCAGUAGGGAAUCUUGCGCAAUGGGCGAAAGCCUGACGCAGCCAUGCCGCGUGUAUGAUGAAGGUCUUAGGAUUGUAAAAUACUUUCACCGGGGAAGAUAAUGACGGUACCCGGAGAAGAAGCACCGGCUAACUUCGUGCCAGCAGCCGCCGUAA
rnacentral:rRNA from 1 species